GAACAGGUGUUUUCCUGAGAGUACCUGUAACAUUUUCAGUGUUACUUGUAAUUCUAAUGUAUUUGAGUCCCUUCAAGUUAUAUACCUCAGCACAGUCUUACAGCAAAAUCAUAUAUGAAGUCCAGUAUUUUUCAAUCAUAGCUCUGUGUGUCGGAAAUUCGUAUUGUUUACAGCAAUAUGAUAUGGUGGCAAUUGUAAUAUAUAAUGUUUACAGGAAACUUCCAAUGAAAAGGAUGGCAGAUAAUGAAGAGAAUGCUUUAGGGGAAACACUGGGGAAGAAUACAGAAAUCGAUCAAAGCACCGAGCAGACAGAAGCACCCCCAGAAACAACAAAAGAAGAUGAACCAGAGAUCGUAGAAACUCCUGUAGAUGUGGCACUGGAAGAUGGUCAGUCAGCAGUCAUUAUGGAGAAUGAAUUGGAGUCUACAGUUGAUAGCAGUAAAACUGUACCAGAAGGAACAGAGGAAAACGCAGAAAUAACUGAACUAUCUGAGGACAUUACAGUAGGAGAAGAAACAAUUGAAGAAUCUUCUAAAGUGGAUAGUGACAGUCUUAACGACACACAAAAACUUUCUCCUGAAAAGGGAGACAGAUCUCAGACGAAUGGGCAACCUUACCAGAAUGGUAAAUUUGUUUUUAUUGUUAUUAUUAUUGAAUUUAUUAAGUGCUUACUAAUUUUUUGCCAAGGACUCUGCUAAGCACUAAGGUAGAUAUAAGAGAAUCAGAUCCGACAGAAUCCCUAUCCCAUAUUGGGCUCACAGUAAAAGAAAUAUACCCAUUUUACAGCUGAGGAAGGCAGGGUCACAGAGAAGUUAAGUGACUUGCCCAAGGUCACACAGCAGAACAGUGGCUGAACUAGGGUAAUUACUCUCCCCUCCUUCAAAGGCUUAUUAAAGAUACAUCUCCUCCAGGAGGCCUUCCCUGACUUAAGCCCCACUUUUCGUCAUCUCUUGAUGCUUUCUGCAUCACCCUAAUUUGCUCCUUUGCUCUUCUCCUCGACCCCCAAGCCCCACAGCACUUAUGUAUAUAUCUGUAAUUUUAUUUAUUUGUACUGAUGUCUGUCUCCCCUCCUUCUAGACUGUGAGAUCGUUGUGGGCAGGGAUUGUCACUGUUUAUUGUUGUAAUGUACUUUCCCAAUCUGGAGUCCCAGCUCCGUGCUCUUUCCAAUAGAUCCCACUGAAGAGGAAUCAGAAGAUUUAAGUGAAAUUGAAAACCAAAGUAUAAGAGUACAAGAAAGUCUUAAUAUAGGAGAAUUUCUCUAUGAAGCAAGACGAGAAGAAAGAAAAUCUUUACUUCCGAUUGAAAAAAAAAUGGAAUCCCCAGCUGAUCAAUCAAAUAUCUCGUUGGUGACCUCUUCUACGCAGGAGUCUUUAUUUGAAGAGAAGGAUGAAAAAAUCAAAACAUAUCCUCUGGUAAGUAUUAUGCUAUAUAUUUCGCACUGUUAUAAGCUUAUACGAUGAGGCAUUUACAGAUAUGAAAAAGCAUUUUUCAUCAAAGAAAAUUUCUUUUCAUUUCAUUAUUUAUGUUAUGGCCUGCUCUAUUUCAGUUUUUGACUGCCCAUUGCUGAAAAAUGGAGAUGGAUGUCAGAUCAUGAAGUGUAAAAUCUGUGUCAGUAUUCAACUCCAUCUCCCUGCAGACAGGAAAUUGCUGGCAUAUUUUGCCUAUUACAUAUGGUGCUCUUUUGUUAAGGAUCUGCACAAAAUCUCAUCUCUCUUCGAGUUGUGACACCUUUCCCUCAUUCUUUUUUUUACUUCCUUUUCACUCUCUUCCUUUCUCCUGGCACCUUCCUUCCCCACAAAGCCUUCACAAUCUUAGCUGCUAAGAUAAUGGAAAGUGAGAAGUGUAACAAAACUAAAACUGUUGAAAAGCAUCAAGCUUUUUCCAAAGAGCUCACCGUGCCAAGGCUGAAAAUAUUCUUGGAGGAACCAUCUGUCAGGAGCAACAAUAUUCUCAUUCACCAAAAGAAGAAGUGUAUGUGGUUAAAAUCCACUAACAUUUUGGAAAAUUAUAUGUUUACUUACCAGUUUCCAGAGCUAUUCUCACCUUUUGUAGCUUUUGGAGUAACCUUAGUGCUGAAGAAAGGUCCCUAAUGGAAAACUUUGAGGAUAAAGCCUUGAGCUGAGCAGCAAAUCUGACUUGAGUGCCCUAUUGGUGCUUAACUCAACUUGAUGGAGUCAGCAAAUCUGACUUGAGCACUAAGUGCUGUAUUAGAGCACCUUUAGGGUGCUUACUACUGUAGUAGGUGCCUGGAGGUCAUGAUAAAAAUUCUUACAAUGGGGGAACCUAUUUAAUAAGGAAUAAUAAUAAUAAUAAUGUUGGUAUUUGUUAAGCGCUUACUAUGUGCCGAGCACUGUUCUAAGCGCUGGGGUAGACACAGGGGAAUCAGGUUGUCCCACGUGGGGCUUACAGUCUUAAUCCGCAUUUUACAGAUGAGGUAACUGAGGCACCGAGAAGUUAAGUGACUUGCCCAAAGUCACACAGCUGACAAGUGGAUGAGCCGGGAUUCGAACCCAUGACCUCUGACUCCAAAGCCCGUGCUCUUUCCACUGAGCCACGCUGCUUCUCUAAUACUAUGCAGACAAACAUAAAAUCUACAUAAAUAUAUGUAAAUGAAGUGGUUUAAU
rnacentral:lncRNA from 1 species